UACAGAGGGGGCAAGCGUUAUUCGGAAUUAUUGGGCGUAAAGGGCGCGUAGGCGGCUUGGCAAGUGGAUGGUGAAAUCCCUCGGCUCAACUGAGGAACUGCCUUUGAAACUGUACGGCUUGAGGCCGGGAGGGGGUAGCGGAAUUCCCAGUGUAGCGGUGAAAUGCGUAGAUACUGGGAGGAACACCAGUGGCGAAGGCGGCUACCUGGACCGGUUCUGACGCUGAGGCGCGAAAGCGUGGGUAGCAAACAGG
rnacentral:rRNA from 1 species